rnacentral:rRNA from 1 species
UACGGAGGGUGCAAGCGUUAUCCGGAUUCACUGGGUUAAAGGGUGCGUAGGUGGCUAUUAAGUCAGUGGUGAAAGCCCGCGGCUCAACCGUGGAAUUGCCAUUGAAACUGAGUAGCUUGAGUACAGUUGAAGUGGGCGGAAUAUAUCGUGUAGCGGUGAAAUGCUUAGAUAUGAUAUAGAACACCGAUUGCGAAGGCAGCUCACUAAGCUGUAACUGACACUGAGGCACGGAAAGCGAUGGGUAGCGAACAGG